AAUUCCCCAAAAAAAUCAAGUGAUUGUAAGGUUAGGCAGAAUUCUCCAAGUCACCGGUUCCAAAUCUUUAGAGGUAACACAUGUCAUGCACACCAAUGCCUGCAAAAUUCUGGUUUUAAUAAAACACAAGCAAAUCUGUUACCAAAUGCAUAAAAUAAGAUAUUCAGAACUUUAUUCUGACAAGCAACUUAAAGCAAUUCAAUUCAAACUAAGAUAGUAUAAAUUAAAUCAAUUGUGAAAAGUGAUAUCAAGCAUGAAAUUGGUGCAGAUACAAACCACUCAACUGCUCCGUUAAUUGAAAUACUAAUCCAACCAAAAUAGAUUAAGGGUGUGUUUGUUUCAACUUUAAAAUUAAUGGAUUUUGGGCUAAAAGAAUCUAGAUAUUUUUUUAGAGAUUUUAAAAAUAAUCUGAAGCUAUUUUUGUUUGCUUACUAUCAUAAAAAUCAUUUUUUUAAGAUUUGAAACUCUUACAAUUGAGUUCCUUGUUUUUAGAAAAAAUAGAUUUUGAAAAAGCUACUAGAAAUAGCUUUUCAUUUUGAGGCUAAAAAUAAAUUUUUUAACAAAAUGGAUUUUUUUUUUAAAUCUGAAACAAACACUACAAAAAUAAAUAAAUUAUUUUUUAGUUAAAAAAAUAGAUUUUCUUUCAAGAAAAUCCCAAACAAACGGGCCCUAAGGCAAUCAUUGAAUAAAUGGUGUGGUGGAUGAGUUAUGGAACCUGCUCAAAGUGCCAUCUCAGCCUGCAACUUUGCUAAUUCAUCUUCCUCAGCUGUUGGUUUCACAGACACAGGGUGGGUAUGUUGCUGCCCAGCUGGGACAUGCACCGGGGCUGCUGGAGUUGUAAUUGUAGGUUGAAGAAGCUGUUCUUCCAACUCAGCACCCUCUAGCUCUUCAAGUUCUGCUUCCAAUUCAUCCUGAAAUAAAAAAUAAAUUCAGUAUGUUGCCUGGGUAUAUUGUAUCAUAUAAUACAUAUGUCAAUAUUCAAUAACGAUUCAAUCUGAAAUAACAAAAAAUUUGAAUCAAUCUUGUAAUAAAAAAAUCCUCUUCAGCAUAGAGUAAAUAAAUAAAAACAACAUUAACAGUUGAGAAGACAACCUCAUCAUAGUCGGCUGGGCCAAUUGGAGCUGACAAUGCUUCCUGAACCUGUCUCAUCUUCUCUGUCUGUUCAGUGAUCUCAUCCAUGAUAUUGUCAACAUCAUCAAGAUUGCUGAAAAAAAUAUAGCAACCGAUCAAGAGCAAGAGCAUGAAACAAUAUUAGCUAAAAACAUGAAGAUAUUUGUUCAUACAGUAUUCUCAGGUUUUAGAACAAGCAUGAAAGAGGUAAAACAUACAAGUGUACAUCAACAAUGAAAGAAAGGAAAAUUCAUAAACAUUGCUAUGUACAAUUCUGUUUGCAUGCGCUUCAUAGCAAAUGCUCCAGUUCUCAACGCAUCAACCGUUUCUGUAGUCGCUUGGGCUCCUUCCAACAUUAUCAUCUGCAACAUAUAUUACAAGUAUAUGAUAAAAAUAAUACUUACAAAAAAAUUAAUCAUGUUGCCCCACUAGCAGUAAAAAAUAUAAGUAGAAACUAAACUCGAUCCGCCAGUCAGACUGGGAAGACUUGUAACCAGUCCUCUAACUGGUCCAAUCAAUCCUAAAAAACAGGUAAUAUAAUGGGUGAACUAAUCACAGCCCAUGAACCAGUCAAACUGUGCGGAUCAAUCAUGAUUCAAAUGAUCGAACUGCUCUGUCUUUUGUAGUUUUUCUAGAAUCAUGUAACAAUAGUUGUUCUCAAA
rnacentral:lncRNA from 1 species